rnacentral:rRNA from 1 species
UACAGAGGGGGCAAGCAUUGUUCGGAAUUACUGGGCGUAAAGGGCGCGUAGGCGGCCGACUAAGUCAGACGUGAAAUCCCCAGGCUCAACCUGGGAACUGCGUCUGAUACUGGACGGCUUGAGUUCGGGAGAGGGAAGUGGAAUUCCAGGUGUAGCGGUGAAAUGCGUAGAUAUCUGGAGGAACACCGGUGGCGAAGGCGGCUUCCUGGACCGACACUGACGCUGAGGCGCGAAAGCCAGGGGAGGCAAACGGG